UCACAGAGGGGGUACCAGGCACCACAGAGGGAGCAAGCAGGCCCUCGCACCUGCUUUAUUCUCACUGUGUGACCAUCAGAAGUCACUCCAUAUCCUCACCCCACCGUGACCAACAAGAAAGGUGUGAGAGUGACAUGGGGGUGAUGCCGCAGGCCUCCCAAACAACAGGCAAUACAUUCCAGAAUACUCCCCAAACUUGCAGUGGAUGUCUGGAGCCACGAGCAGAAUCUACCUGGUGGAAAUGACUCAUUGACAAGGGUAGAAGAUCACAAAAUUCAGGGGAUGAGAUAGAACGCACUGAAAGCAUUCCAAUGUACAAACAACUCAGAUCAAAUUGAGAGCGCACGCCAGCCGGUGGGUAGCUGAGCACCAAGUUCCUAGAGACAAGACCUCACCCAGAUCUUCCCAGUGUCCAGGCAGAGCCUCACUACACGUGUGGGGAGAGAAGCGCGGAGCACCCUGGCAUGCCUAGAUUGUCAGAAUCAACAUUUCAGAACUCUGGAAGUCAACCAAAGGCUGGCAGCCCUCUGUGGGCGGAGUGGCACUUAAAAAAAAAAAAAAAAGCUGACUCUUGAAGAGCUCACAACUUGGUGGCAUUUUAAUCUGUCCCAUCCCACCCCCCUCCCCCACUACUCCAAGAGACCUCAGACUUCAACAGCCUACAAGCACAGAGAAGCCAAUAGCCUGGGCAACCAGUAGAGAGGCAGGGUCUUUAUUUGACCUGUCUGGUGUCUUUAUUUGAAUGAACUCAGUGUUUACUUAGGGCAAACAGCCUGUGUCUCAGAAAUAUUUGUCCCAGACUUUCAGAGACAAUUGUGGCAGAUGUGUGAGACUGCACAGGACAGCGAGGCCGGCAACAGGUUCACCAGAGAGUAAAGGAAAACUGGAAGUGGGGUGUCCACAGGGGUAGGGAUGCU